AUUGAACGCUGGCGGCAUGCCUUACACAUGCAAGUCGAACGGCAGCACGGGUGCUUGCACCUGGUGGCGAGUGGCGAACGGGUGAGUAAUACAUCGGAACAUGUCCUGUAGUGGGGGAUAGCCCGGCGAAAGCCGGAUUAAUACCGCAUACGAUCUACGGAUGACAGCGGGGGACCUUCGGGCCUCGCGCUAUAGGGUUGGCCGAUGGCUGAUUAGCUCGUUGGUGGGGUAAAGGCCUACCAAGGCGACGAUCAGUAGCUGGUCUGUGAGGACGACCAGCCACACUGGGACUGAGACACGGCCCAGACUCCUACGGGAGGCAGCAGUGGGGAAUUUUGGACAAUGGGCGAAAGCCUGAUCCAGCAAUGCCGCGUGUGUGAAGAAGGCCUUCGGGUUGUAAAGCACUUUUGUCCGGAAAGAAAUCCUUGGCCCUAAUACGGUCGGGGGAUGACGGUACCGGAAGAAUAAGCACCGGCUAACUACGUG
rnacentral:rRNA from 1 species